GGGGAGACUCGGGAAGGCACUGCGGGAGAACAACAAGGAUGUCAGAACACGGAGGGAAAAACGCAGAGAGAGAGAGAAAGCAUAAGGCUUACGGUAUCCAAAGAGGUCCAGGUGCGCUGAUUGCUGAUCGCCCAUAGCCUUGCCGGCAUGUGGGCGCGUCCCGAGGUGCGACAAGCAGGGCGAGAGAGAGAGGCGUCAGAGUCCAUGUCCAGGCGAGGAUCGAGGAAGGCAGUCCAAAACCCACGGGAGAAACAACGGGAGAUAACAAAGGGGGAGACUCGGGAAGGCACUGCGGGAGAACAACAAGGAUGUCAGAACACGGAGGGAAAAACGCAGAGAGAGAGAGAGAAAGCAUAAGGCUUACGGUAUCCAAAGAGGUCCAGGUGCGCUGAUUGCUGAUCGCCCACACGCGGCCGUGGGCGCGUCCUGAGGUUCGACAAGCAGAGCGCAAAGAUGAGGGCGCAUUGGAAUGCGCCCUGGCCUUGACAGCUAUGCAAGCGCUUAAAGCUACAACAAAGAUGUCGGGGAGAAGACGCUGUCGAAGUGGAGGCACAUAAAUAAGGGCGGCCACAAAACAGCCACCAAAGAGACGGUCAGUAAGCGGCUUGAAGUGGCAACCUUGGUGAAACACUAAGCAUCGUUUGUAUUAGAAAUCCUUGCUCUUCAGAGGAUUUAAGAUCCCCUGAAGAGCAGGGGAACCUGCGAAACAGGC